rnacentral:rRNA from 1 species
UACGAGGGGGGCGAGCGUUGUUCGGAAUUAUUGGGCGUAAAGGGUGCGUAGGCGGUUUGAUAAGUCUUGUGUGAAAUCCCCGGGCUCAACCUGGGAACUGCAUUUGUGACUGUAGAGCUGGAGUACGGCAGAGGGGGAUGGAAUUCCGCGUGUAGCAGUGAAAUGCGUAGAUAUGCGGAGGAACACCGAUGGCGAAGGCAAUCCCCUGGGCCUGUACUGACGCUCAUGCACGAAAGCGUGGGGAGCAAACAGG